GCCAGGCCUGGUAGCGCAUGCCUGUAGUCCUAGCUACUUGGGAGGCUGAGGUGGGAGGAUUGCUUGAGCCCAGGAGAUCAAGGCUGUAGUGCCGUGACCGUGCCACUGCACCCUAGCCUGGGUGACAGAGCGAGACCUGUCUCAA
rnacentral:SRP_RNA from 1 species